rnacentral:lncRNA from 10 species
UACAGGCUGUGUCUGUGGCUGCCCUGGCUUAGGGCUCUGGCUGGCCCCUCCUUUCCGACCUGGUCUGGCAGAGCAGCCCCGCAGGACCAGCUCGCAAGGCUCCUGGGGCCAGUGGGGCUCUGUCCUGUGAGGCGGUCCCUCCGCAAGGACAGAGUCAGAGAGAGGCUGAAACCAGGUCCUGAAAAACAUCACAGAAACUACAGCUGGAAAUUUCCUGUUGACCCUGAUAGACUACUACUUGACACCAGCCGACCGAUCUGCUGGCUGCCCACCAUGGUCCUGCCACAAUUCUGAUGGGACAGAGAAUUGGCCUUACUUUCUUUCCUGAUAAAUAGCCAUAGACCUCAAGCCAGCCAGUUUUGGCCAGCUUAUAGAGACUGU